CCGGGCGGCCCCGCGGAUCGGUGGGUGGAGAAUUAGUUUGGCGGAUGGUCGCAGCCGCGGGGUUGCGGUGAAUAGGUCUUCGUGCAGGUGGGGUCGGACGCAGGUCGUGUCCCUUAGGGGUCCGUCCCGGGACAGUGCUCUUCAGCAUCUUUAUCGCUGUAGUAGUGGAUUGCUUCUGUUGUGAUCCAAGUGAAAUUGUAAUUCUGAGUAUUUGGUAACAUCAUUUGUAGGAAUAAAAAAACCAAAACACAUAAUGUCAGAGAUUUGUAACUGUUUGCUCAGGUGCAAACGCCAGAACGCAAGAGAUGAAAUCAGAAGGCCUAGUCUGCUGGGCACUCACCUCUGCCAAGGGCUCCUCCUGAAGCUCUGCUGCCGAGUGCCAGGAGACAACCAGCAUUGAAUAAAUUUGAGCUUCUGUUAAAUGAAAGUCCCACAGUUUCAGAACACUGGAAAUUUGGACAAGCCUUCAGAAGCAGGUAUCAGAAAGCUGCAGAAUGUAAAGAAUCGAAGUCUGCACUUGUGGAAAGAACAAACGGUGAAAGUAAUAUUUGAAUUAUAUUAAAGGACAAGUACAGAAACAACCUGGAGAACAGUUAAGCAACUAGAGGACUUACAUUUGGAACAGCUGCAUCCUAUCAGGUGGAAAUGAAAGCGCUGUGUCUAAAAACUUGCAAGCAGAUAAGUACAAAGACAGCUCAUUCUGCUGGAUGUCGGAUCCACUGCCAUCACCUGAGACUUUCUGUUUGCUUAACUUGCUGUUGCUUCUGUGGUAGUAAAAAUUGAGAAGCACACGAUUAAACAUAAAUCCACCAAGUGUUUUCCAUUCAGCAAAAGGGAAAUGUACACAUUUACACAAAUGUGCACUUGCACCUGUGCACAAAAGUCUUAUUUUUAUUCCGUAUUAACACUGAGAUUUAUAUAGAAGGCUGUACAUGGAAAGAUAUCUAAAGUAUUCAGAAAAAAAAUCAAUGUUAAAAUAUUCAAUAUUCAAACACUGAUUUUCGUAUUCUUGUAUGCAACUGUUACGUACCAGUUUUUUCUAACUAUAACUAUUUCUGCUGCUUAAAAAAAUACUGAUUUACCUGUGUCAGAAAUACACAAGUGAAAAAAAAAAAGGCAGAUACAGAACAAGCACAAUUGCUAACAGCUUUCGCAGGUUUUACAAGCUUUCAUCAGUUAAAUGUUAAUUCUUACUUUGAUGGUUCAUCUUCCUCAGUUAAUUCUUCUUCCAGUUGUAGAAACGUCUGAAUCUUGAAAUAAAUAAAUUUAUGGAAAGGCUGAAUCAUUUGAACAGCUCAAUUAUAGAAAGAUACACUUCACAUAUUAGUGUAAAUACUAUAAGGAACCACAGACUCUUAGUUUACUCACAGAAUCACAUAGUGGCCCGGGUUGAAAGGGGCCUCAAAGAUCAUUAAUCUCCAACCCCCUUGCCACGUACAGAGCCACCAAACUCUUAAACAAGUUAAGAAAUUGUGAAAGAAAUUGCAUUAUCAACAACAGCAACAUUGAUCAGAAAGGUAUCACCUAAUAACAAUGUUGCUUCUUUUUCCAAAUUAUCAAACUAACACAGACCUAUGAAAACAUUUCCUUCCAUCCAGGGGUGGAUCUGCGAGGAGGUGAAAUGCAAAGAAUGCGAGAAACUAAUUUUAAAGUUAUCACUCAUUCCUUACCAAUUCAGUUACCAUAAUUGGCCACAAGGAGGUUAGAUGCUGAGGAGAAAUCCUUAACAAUAGAACUCUGAAGAGGAGGAACAUCUGCGAGGCAACUAAAGAAGUCUGUCCAACACGGAGGUUCUCAGUCAGUCGUUCUGAAAUAAAUUAUGUUGGAGUAACAUGUUGGUGUCGAUCCUGAUCUACUCAAACUAGCAGGAGAAUUAUAUAAAACAUACUCUGCAGCUGUCCAGAACUUUAAAGCCCUGCCUCUAACAUGCACAAGUCUCCUCAUCUCAGACUCUUAAAACCGUGGCUGAGGGAUUUCAAGACUUUUAAUUCUUACUGAGACAAAACUAAAAUGGUAAAUUUAAAAACAUACAAUGUUAAAAAAAAUGCCUUAAAAUUUGUAUUGUAAGCCUUCAACUAUUCUUUUAAAAGAUUUCAACAAGAGACAAAAGCUGCUUUAUCUUUCAAAGCUCCAGGCAAAUGUUAGGGUCCUAUCCCAUCUCUUUUCCAAUUACUUUUCUUCCAUAUUGUCCUCAAGCCUGAAUUAGAGAUCAGAGCAUGUUGCUCAAAGACUUGCUGUACUGGUGCACCAUAUUCCCAUAGCUCUGUGCAAGUAUACAGAUGCAUGCAAAGUUAACCGGAGUCUCCUUGCUUUCUCACAGGCAACAGUGCUACAGUCACCUUUCAGCAACUUAAAAUAACGGCCAAAUGUGCUUGCAGCAGUCCAACGCUAACAUUUCUGGAGUAAAUAUUUUUAAAAUGUUAACAUUACCAAAAUACAGUCUGAACUGAGAACAGUUUUUAGUGGAGAAUGAAGUUGGUCAUGUAAUCAAUUCUGCAGAUGCAGUGUUGCCUGCAUUUUAUUGACACGUUAGACACCAAACAGCUCAGAACCAAAUUUAAAUAUAAUUAAUUUAAAAUUAAUGCAGAAAUAAGUUAUCAGUAGCUAAUACUUACUCAUCAAGUCUUUAAACAUAGUUUUCUCAUGUGUUAGAAGGUGAUCAAUAAUGGAUCUCCAACUGGAUAAGACAAAGAAGGAACUGGAUAAGUAAAAGUUCAACAAUAUAAAGGACAUGACAGAUAACCAGAGAAAGCCUUGGUGUAGAAUUCACAUAAAAAGAUAUUGGACAAACAAUUCAUACUAGGCAACAGUUUCCAACACGAAUUCACUAUGCAGAACCUUAUCCAGUUUACACAUACUGAAUUCUAUGUCCUUCAACUCCAUUAUAUGCCAUUUCCAAACACUAAUGGCAGUUGUUAGCAAGAGAGAGGUUUAUUCUUCUGUGCCAUAAAGAUAACUUAAAUUUCUAUAAUUGAGUUGAGUUUGUUGAGAUCUGUUUUUAAUGUUACUACAUUCUGUGAGCAAGUACUACAGAGACCAUUCAAUAUUAGUCUCUAAGUCUUUCUUUGCAAUCAUCAAAUAAACUCUUGGAGUGCUACCA